GGUCCCGUAGCUCAGUUGGAUAGAGCACCUGCCUUCUAAGCUGGUGGUCGUUGGUUCGAAUCCAACCGGGAUCA
rnacentral:tRNA from 1 species